GGGACAGCGAGACGCACGAGGAUGGGAGUAAAGGCCUGGGUCCCAGGUCCUUCCGCGAUGGGCGUCACGACUCUGGCGACCUUGGGUGUCCUCGGGAGCCGUCUCUUUCCUGUGUGGCCAGUUAAUGACUUUGCCUAUUGUCAUCCUAAGAAUGGAAGCAAGCACAGGCACGGGGCGGGUGUGGAGGACCUGUAAAGCCUGGUUUGUGUCACGUUUUGUGAAACAUUGGACAGUUGCACAAGGGAUGUAACAAUGGCUGGUGUCAAAAGUACAGAUGAUUCAUAAUUAUGCCUGGGGGAGGCACCCCCACCAAAAGGCCUUGAUGCUCAUUUUGCAAUGAAAAAGCUGACCAGGAAGUGGGCCCGGAAGCCCAGGAAAUGAGACAGAAUGGGCAAUGCUUCUAGAUGGAUCGAAGACAGUGACAGCUUCCGGAUGUCUUCAUAUCGAGUAGGACAAGAAGCUUAUUUCUUGCACCAUCGCAGCGCUUACAUCACCACGCAGGAAAUGCUGGGAUGUUCUCCACCCUGGACGGGGACCACUCACACUUCGCACACCUAUCCGCCCUCUCCUCAUUCCGGAACCAGCUCCCGCGUUGGAAAAGAUACAUCCUCAUCCAGGAAGAGAAAGUCAAGGCUGCCCAGGAAAAUGUGCAAUGUCUUAGCUCAGAUUUCAGUUUCUAGAAACUUCAUCUCCUAUGCCAUGCCCUGUGGAGCGGCAUAAAGAAAGCCAGCCUCAGUAGCGUGGGUGCUCCAGAGAGUUUGUUCUCCCAGAUCCAAGCCCAGUGGCCGGAAGGCCCUGCAUGCCCGGAGCACUAAGGGCAUCCUGAGUGGGAGCUGCUUUGAGCUUCCUGCAGUCUCAUCUUCUUCCUGUGGUUUUGAUCCUUCCAGUGCAAGGUCACUCACUGAUCGACCUCUAGGCACCCACCUUCUGGGUGAGAAGAGGAGGGGCUGCAAACACUGCUCCCUGACUUUCAGCAAAGCGAAUGUUGCUGGGAAACUGCAGGCGACUGAUUUCAGCUCACAGCCCGCUGCUUACACCGGGUGUUGGCCGCCCAGAAGGAUUAAGGUCACAGGCCGUGGGCAGCAGCUGGGCUCGGUGGGCAGUGGCGAGGUGAUAAGCACAUCUCAGUUGCACCCAGCAUGCCUGGCCCAGAGGCAAGCAAGGUCACCAGACACUCCCCUCCCCCUCUCAGCCCACAAUCCAUCUCCCGGGCCUGUGCUCACCCUGGAGCCUGACCCUGAGGUGGAACCCUUCAGGCUCUGCCAUCAACAAGAAGAGGCUUGGGGCAGCACCACGGGAGGGUGCGGAGCUGGGCACGCCACCUCUCCUGAGCCUUUCCACCCCAGUUUUACGGUAAAUGUUUCAUCAAGGUGUUCCUUUUAUGGCUGUUAAAAAACCUAGGAGGCACCAAAUGCCUGCCCGUGGUAAAAAUGGACCCAUGAGGUGGAGCGUGCUUACGCAAUAGUAAACUGGGAAGCAAUGGGAAUAAAACAUUUACAACCACAGACAAAAAUCUGGACGAGCUACGCCAAUAUAAUAUUGAGCAAAAGAAGCCAAACACAAAAUAAUACACUGUGAUUUUACUUACAUAAGUUUAUUAUAUUUCUGUAAUACGGAAAUCAAUUUAUAGAGUUUGUAAAUGGACAAAACUAAUGUAUGGUGAUAGGAGUCACGAGAGCCACUCUACCUAGGGGAGGGUGGUGACUGCCAGGGGAAUCGACCGGGUUUCCUAGGGACCUGGUCACCUUCGGGUGCUCCAUCUUGAUUCUGGUACCAGGGUGUGUUCUGCUUCGCCAAAAUCCACCGGAGUUUAGGGCACUUAUCGUACACUAUUUCUGUAUCCUUCAAAAAAAAGCUAAUUGCAAAUAUUGCUGAAAAGGCGUCUGCGGCAGAACUGCUGAUGGUUUAUCCAACAUCCCCACUUGUUCCCCUUUUUUGGUAAGAGUCCCACUUUAAUUCACACAGUCCUCUACGUUUAAAGGGAGAUUCCGUUGUCAGUGUGAGAAGAUAAAUCCUGAUUGGUCCAAAUCCACCACGUUUGGGCCAUCCCUCAGGCUAUGAUUGGUUUAGCAAAGGGCAUGUGACCCAAUUCUGGCCAAUGAGAAUGAAGAAAAUUCUGCCGGGGUGGUUCUUGAAAUGUGUCCUCCUCCUCAGAGAGAGGCCCACUAGAGCCAGUGGUCUUCGUGACGGCACAUGGAAGAACCAAGAGGAGCAGCGGGAAGUGGAACUGGAGCCCCAUUACCCUGUGCGGGAAGCUGCCCUCGCCUGGAUUUCUUGGGCUGUGAGGUAAAACUUUACUAUUGGGAACAAUGUAGCAUUUUGGGAAAGUGCUCAAAGCUGCCGCUUAGCAAGAGUUCUGCUUGAUUUCCUCCUCCUCCUCCUAUUCCUCCUCUUCCGCUUCCUGUUCCAACGUGGAAUUACCUGGUCACCCGGAGUCAGGCGGUGCGCUCUGCCCCUUUUUGUACCCUAGCGCCUGCCUUCCUGUUGCCGCUGUCACAGCCCGCUGGGUGGUAAUGGCCAGAUGGUGACCACCGAGGUCAGGAGGCAGCGCCUUGAUGGGGCCCUGUCCUUGUGUCUCCCAAGACUGCGAGUGGCGGGAACCAGGGGAAAGAUAUCGAUGCCAGUUAUUGUUAGGUUGUCUUAUUAGGGUUUUUCUCUCACACCACUGACCGUUUACCUAACAGUCAUUGCCUUCCUUCUUUCCCCUUCCUUCCUUCCUUCCUUCCUUCCUUCCUUCCUUCCUUCCUUUAGAAAUGGGCGUCUCAGUAUGUUGUCUAGACUGGCCUCGAACUCCUGGGUGCAAGUGACCCUCUUGCCUGUAGCCGGGACUGCAGGUACAUCCCACUGUGCCAUUUCUCUCCCUCCUUUCCUUGUUGAAAAAAGACAACUUGUUCUCUUGUUAGGGAAGUACCAGAAACUCAUUUUCCAGCUUCUUUUGAAGCUAGAGCUCGGGCACUGAGACCCAAGGAUAAGUUGAGGGAGGAUAAUUCUAAGAGAGACUUUUUUUCCUAAAGAACCCUGCCAUGAGCACCUCUCCUUUCUGUCUCUGUCAUGAUGUGUGAGGAUGUGAUGGCUGGAGCCAUGGCAGCCACUUUACAGAGAUGAGAUUACAAGCCUUGAAGGAGAAAUCUAAUGUGUUUUUUCCCCUCAGCUAAAAUAUAAACCCAGUAAAGGCAGGGACUGUAGACUCUGGUUUGUUAAUUACUCUACUCCAGGUGUUUAUAAUGUAACGGAGGUGCUCAGAGUUGAGUAAAUGGAUGAAUGGAUGGAUGCAAAGGGCCAUCAUUUAUGACCCACA